rnacentral:rRNA from 1 species
UACGUAGGGUGCAAGCGUUGUCCGGAAUUAUUGGGCGUAAAGAGCUCGUAGGCGGUUUGUCGCGUCUGCUGUGAAAACUCGGGGCUCAACUCCGAGCUUGCAGUCGAUACGGGCAGGCUAGAGUUCGGCAGGGGAGACUGGAAUUCCUGGUGUAGCGGUGAAAUGCGCAGAUAUCAGGAGGAACACCGGUGGCGAAGGCGGGUCUCUGGGCAGUAACUGACGCUGAGGAGCGAAAGCGUGGGGAGCGAACAGG